GAUGAACGCUAGCGGCAGGCUUAAUACAUGCAAGUCGAGGGGCAGCACGGGUAGCAAUACCUGGUGGCGACCGGCAAACGGGUGCAGAACACGUACGCAACUUUCCCAAAACUGGUGAAUAGCCCUCCGAAAGGAGGAUUAAUACACCGUAACAUAAUGAAGUGGCAUCACUUUAUUAUUAUAGCUCCGGCGGUUUUGGAUGGGCGUGCGCCUGAUUAGGUAGUUGGCGGGGUAACGGCCCACCAAGCCUUCGAUCAGUAACUGGUGUGAGAGCACGACCAGUCACACGGGCACUGAGACACGGGCCCGACUCCUACGGGAGGCAGCAGUAAGGAAUAUUGGUCAAUGGACGCAAGUCUGAACCAGCCAUGCCCGCGUGAAGGAUGAAGGUCCUCUGGAUUGUAAACUUCUUUAUCUGGGACGAAAAAAGGCGAAUUCUUCGUCACUUGACGGUACCAGAUGAAUAAGCACCGGCUAACUCCGUGCCAGCAGCCGCGGUAA
rnacentral:rRNA from 1 species